GCCGGUGUAGCUCAAUGCCAGAGCGGCCGAACCGUAAUCGGCAGAUGGAGUGUUCAAAUCCUCCCGCCGGCUCCA
rnacentral:tRNA from 1 species